CACCUGUCCAACAUCUAGAGAGGAGAAUCACCUGUCCAACAUCUAGAGAGGAGAAACACCUGUCCAACAUCUAGAGAGGAGAAACACCUGUCCCACAUCUAGAGAGGAGAAACACCUGUCCCACAUCUAGAGAGGAGAAACACCUGUCCAACAUCUAGAGAGGAGAAACACCUGUCCAACAUCUAGAGAGGAGAAUCACCUGUCCAACAUCUAGAGAGGAGAAACACCUGUCCAACAUCUAGAGAGGAGAAUUACCUGCCCAACAUCUAGAGAGGAGAAACACCUGUCCAACAUCUAGAGAGGAGAAACACCUGUCCAACAUCUAGAGAGAAGAAUCACCUGUCCAACAUAUGAGAGAGAGACGGAGAGAGAAAAGGAGAGAGACAGAGGGAAAGAGUGAGAGGAGUGAGAGAGUGAAGGAGAGAGAAUCACCUUCCCAACAUCUGAGAGCUAGAGAGAGAGAGAGAGAGAGAGGGAAGGAGAGAGAGAGAGAGGGGUGCGGAGAUGAGAGAGAUGGACUAUGAGAGACACUGUUACGGUGAGAUGUGAAUAUGUUUGUAUGUGAGUGUAAAUGCAUUAGCUGUAAGAAAAAACACCGUCCACCAGGCAACAACAUUUGGGCUAGCACCAACUUCAGCCCUGGGCUAGCACCAACCUUAGCCCAGGGCUAGCACCAACUUCAGCCCUGGGCUAGCACCAACCUUAGCCCAGGGCUAGCACCAACCUUAGCCCAGGGCUAGCACCAACUUCAACCCUGGGCUAGCACCAACCUUAGCCCAGGGCUAGCACCAACCUUAGCCCAGGGCUAGCACCAACCUUAGCCCAGGGCUAGCACCAACUUCAGACCUGGGCUAGCACCAACCUUAGCCCAGGGCUAGCACCAACUUCAGCCCAGGGCUAGCACCAACUUCAGACCUGGGCUAGCACCAACCUUAGCCCAGGGCUAGCACCAACCUCAGCCCAGGGCUAGCACCAACUUCAGACCUGGGCUAGCACCAACCUUAGCCCAGGGCUAGCACCAACUUCAGCCCUGGGCUAGCACCAACUUCAGCCCAGGGCUAGCACCAACUUCAGCCCAGGGCUAGCACCAACCUUAGCCCAGGGCUAGCACCAACCUUAGCCCUGGGAUAGCACCAACCUUAGUCCUGGGCUAAGGAAGAUUUUAGCCUGAGGCUAAGCAAGUGUUCACACUUGCCACAUUCUAAAGUGGACUAGCACCAACCUUAGUCCACAGCUAGCACCAACUUCAGUCCAGGGCUAGCACCAAACUAAGUCCACAGCUAGCUGGCUCUACUCCGGAACAGGGUUAGCACAGACUUUUCGGGGUUAGCCCCAGAAACACAGUGCCAAAAUAGCAAAGGUGAAACAGGGUCACGAACGAUACCUAGAAUACUACUAAUAGAAUACUACUAAUACUAUUACUGUUCAAUCACAAAAGGGGCACUUUCACUUAAUCAGCGUAUGCUGGUGACGCUCGUGAAUCCUCUAAUGUGUUCUGCACGGUAAUUCAUACUAUUUCAUCCUUCCACCUGAGGACAAAAACCCUACUGUAUGCAGGCUGGCUAAUUUCUUCUCACUUAGCCAACUGAAGCUACACAUUCUACAGCUAGAAGGGCGGCAAACACUCCCUUUCCCCCUGUUUUCGUAGCUGUUCUAUUGACGUUUAAUUGUAUAUACUGUAUCCAUGAAAAUAACGUUGCGUGAUUUCGAAUUCGGUCAAAAAAGUUAAUGUCUCAUUAGUUCACAACAUUCUCUGUACAGGGGAGGGAUGGAAUUUCAAAAGUGCAAGAUUGUUUUCCAAUGUUGGACAGGCAGACAACCAAAGUUUAUAAAAAACUAUCACUGUUGGAAAUCAAAUGCUAGAAGCAAGAGGAAAUAAUGUGUUAAUCAAUGUCUUAUUGCUUAUAAUGGGGCCAAUCUAGCAUGGGGUCAGUCUAGCAGGGCUAGCACCAACCUUAGCCCUGGGAUAGCACCUGGGUCUAGCAUGGUCUAGCAUGGGGCUGGUCUAGCAUGGGGCCAGUCUAGCAUGGGGCCAGUCUAGCAUGGGGCCAUUCUAGCAUGGGGCCAGUCUACCCCAAGGCCAGUCUAGCAUGGGGCCGGUCUAGCAUGGGGCCGGUCUAGCAUGGGGCCGGUCUAGCAUGGGGCCAGUCUACCCCAAGGCCGGUCUAGCAUGGGGCCGGUCUAGCAUGGGGCCAGUCUAGCAUGGAGCUAGUCUAGCAUGGGGCCAGUCUAGCAUGGGGCUAGUCUAGCAUGGGGCCAGUCUAGCAUGGGGCUAGUCUAGCAUGGGGCUAGUCUAGCAUGGGGCCAGUCUAGCAUGGGGCCAUUCUAGCAUGGGGCCAGUCUACCCCAAGGCCGGUCUAGCAUGGGGCCGGUCUAGCAUGGGGCCAGUCUAGCAUGGAGCUAGUCUAGCAUGGGGAUAGUCUAGCAUGGGACUAGUCUAGCAUGGGGCCAGUCUAGCAUGGGGCUAGUCUAGCAUGGGGCCAGUCUAGCAUGGGGCCAUUCUAGCAUGGGGCCAGUCUAGCAUGGGGCCAGUCUAGCAUGGGGCCGGUCUAGCAUGGGGCCAGUCUAGCAUGGGGCCAGUCUACCCCAAGGCCGGUCUAGCAUGGGGCCGGUCUAGCAUGGGGCCGGUCUAGCAUGGGGCCAGUCUAGCAUGGGGCUAGUCUAGCAUGGGGCCAGUCUAGCAUGGGGCUAGCCUAGCAUGGGGCCAGUCUAGCAUGGGGCUAGUCUAGCAUGGGGCCGGUCUAGCAUGGGGCCAAUCUACUCCAAGGUCAGUCUAGCGUGGGGCCAGUCUAGUAUGGGGCCAGUCUACCCCAAGGCCAGUCUAGCAUUGGGCCGGUCUAGCAUGGGGCCGGUCUAGCAUGGGGCCGGUCUAGCAUGGGGCCAGUCUAGCAUGGGGCUAGUCUAGCAUGGGGAUAGUCUAGCAUGGGGCCAGUAUAGCAUGGGGCUAGUCUAGCAUGGGGCCGGUCUAGCAUGGGGCCGGUCUAGCAUGGGGAUAAUCUACCCCAAGGUCAGUCUAGCAUGGGGCCAGUCUAGCAUGGGGCCAGUCUAGCAUGGGGCCAAUCUAGCAUGGGGCCAAACUAGCAUGGGGCCGGUCUAGCAUGGGACCGGUCUAGCAUGGGGCCAGUCUACCCCAAGGCCAGUCUAGCAUGGGGCCAGUUUAGCAUGGGGCCGGUCUAGCAUGGCCGGUCUAGCGUGGGGCCGGUCUAGCAUGGGGCCAGUCUACCCCAAGGCCGGUCUAGCAUGGGGCCGGUCUAGCAUGGGGCCGGUCUAGCAUGGGGCCAGUCUAGCAUGGAGCUAGUCUAGCAUGGGGCCAGUCUAGCAUGGGGCUAGUCUAGCAUGGGGCCAGUCUAGCAUGGGGCUAGUCUAGCAUGGGGCUAGUCUAGCAUGGGGCCAGUCUAGCAUGGGGCCAUUCUAGCAUGGGGCCAGUCUACCCCAAGGCCGGUCUAGCAUGGGGCCGGUCUAGCAUGAGGCCGGUCUAGCAUGGGGCCAGUCUAGCAUGGAGCUAGUCUAGCAUGGGGAUAGUCUAGCAUGGGACUAGUCUAGCAUGGGGCCAGUCUAGCAUGGGGCUAGUCUAGCAUGGGGCCAGUCUAGCAUGGGGCCAUUCUAGCAUGGGGCCAGUCUAGCAUGGGGCCAGUCUACCCCAAGGCCAGUCUAGCAUGGGGCCGGUUUAGCAUGGGGCCGGUCUAGCAUGGGGCCAGUCUAGCAUGGGGCCAGUCUACCCCAAGGCCGGUCUAGCAUGGGGCCGGUCUAGCAUGGGGCCGGUCUAGCAUGGGGCCAGUCUAGCAUGGGGCUAGUCUAGCAUGGGGCCAGUCUAGCAUGGGGCUAGCCUAGCAUGGGGCCAGUCUAGCAUGGGGCUAGUCUAGCAUGGGGCCGGUCUAGCAUGGGGCCAAUCUACUCCAAGGUCAGUCUAGCGUGGGGCCAGUCUAGUAUGGGGCCAGUCUACCCCAAGGCCAGUCUAGCAUUGGGCCGGUCUAGCAUGGGGCCGGUCUAGCAUGGGGCCGGUCUAGCAUGGGGCCAGUCUAGCAUGGGGCUAGUCUAGCAUGGGGAUAGUCUAGCAUAGGGCCAGUAUAGCAUGGGGCUAGUCUAGCAUGGGGCCGGUCUAGCAUGGGGCCGGUCUAGCAUGGGGAUAAUCUACCCCAAGGUCAGUCUAGCAUGGGGCCAGUCUAGCAUGGGGCCAAUCUAGCAUGGGGCCAAAGUAGCAUGGGGCCGGUCUAGCAUGGGACCGGUCUAGCAUGGGGCCAGUCUACCCCAAGGCCAGUCUAGCAUGGGGCCAGUUUAGCAUGGGGCCGGUCUAGCAUGGCCAGUCUAGCAUGGGGCCAGUCUGUCCUGGGGCCAGUCUACCCCAAGGCCAGUCUAGCAUGGGGCCGGUCUACCCCAAGGCCAGUCUAGCAUGGGGCCAGUCUGUCCUGGGGCCAGUCUACCCCAAGGCCAGUCUAGCAUGGGGCCGGUCUAGCAUGGCCAGUCUAGCAUGGGGCCAGUCUGUCCUGGGGCCAGUCUACCCCAAGGCCAGUCUAGCAUGGGGCCAGUUUAGCAUGGGGCCGGUCUAGCAUGGCCGGUCUAGCAUGGGGCCAGUCUGUCCUGGGGCCAGUCUACCCCAAGGCCAGUCUAGCAUGGACCAGUCUAGCAUUUGGCCAGUCUAGCAUGAGGCAAGUCUAGGGUACCAGUGGGUCAAUCUAUAAACUAGGGUACCAGUGUGUCAUUCUAUAAACUAGGGUACCAGUGGGUCAUUCUAUAAACUUGGGUACCAAUGUGUCAUUCUAUAAACCAGGAUACCAGUGGGUCAUUCUAUAAACUAGGGUCGCAGUGGGUCUCUAUAAACUAGGGCACCAGUGGGUCUUUCUAUAAACUAGGGUACCAGUGGGUCUCUAUAAACUAGGGCACCAGUGGGUCUUUCUAUAAACUAGGGUCCCAGUGGGUCAUUCUAUAAACCAGGAUACCAAUGUGUCAUUCUAUAAACUAGGGUACCAGUGGGCCUUUCUAUAAACUAGGGCACCAAUGAGCAUUUCUUGUAGUGAACUGUUUGGAGUGGUUACUAAGUUCAUUAAUAAUGAUUUGCACGUAUUUUCACGUGAAUACAUUAGGAUGUUAAAGGGGGAACAUAGAUACAUUCAAUAUAAUUCAUGAGUUGAAUCAAAACCCUGUGUUUAAAGUCUUUCUCGUGCUUGGACUCUUCAUGGAUUUGACAAAUAUCGUGCGACACAAAACCCUAUUACAUUGAUGAUACUGCUGUUUGUUGUUAUGUCACAUACAACGCAUUUUAACAAUUUAAUUACACAUUGACAUUGAUUCUGGGAAAUUCCUGGAUAUUGCUUGUCAGACUCUUUUUAGUGUGGAGAUCUGGGAAGUGGACUGUGACCUCAUAACAUUUAGUAUCUUCUUAUGUUACAGUGUGAAAACAGUUUUCAUGGGCACACAUAUCCAAAACAAUGUAUGUAAUUACAAAAUACAAUGCUUUUUAACAGAAAGAGUAACUUGAACUUGAUUAAUAAAAUGAAAUCGAUGUAAAUAAAGUAUUUCUUCAAUAAUUA